AGAAGCUGCCCUCACCACCCUCUGGCUCUUCUCUGAUGACACAUACGUCAAAUGCUCCUGCUGAAGCCAUGGUGAUGGAUGAAGAUGAAGAGCUGGAGAGAGUGAUGCUGAGCAUUUCUCCUACCAAGCAACAUGAGCAAAGCUCUGUUUCUGCACCAGCAUCAUCAACUGCCAGACCACCACAGGCUUCUGGAACAGAUAGAGGUUCUUAAC